rnacentral:rRNA from 1 species
UAGGGAAUCUUGCGCAAUGGGGGCAACCCUGACGCAGCGAUGCCGCGUGAGUGAGGAAGGCCUUCGGGUUGUAAAGCUCUGUUCUGUGGGAAAAAUGUUUGACUUACUAAUAAUAAGUCGAAGUGAUGGUACCGCAGGAGAAAGCACCGGCUAACUUCGUGCCAGCAGCCGCGGUAAUACGAAGGGUGCAAGCGUUGUUCGGAAUUAUUGGGCGUAAAGGGCGAGUAGGCGGAUAGAAAAGUCAGAUGUGAAAUCUCGGGGCCUAACCCCGAAACUGCGUCUGAAACUCUUUAUCUAGAAUUUCGAAGAGGGAAGGGGAAUUUCGCAUGUAGGAGUAAAAUCCGUAGAGAUGCGAAGGAACACCAGAGGCGAAGGCGCCUUCCUGGGAGAAUAUUGACGCUGAGGCGCGAAAGCGUGGGGAGCAAACAGG